GGUGGGGUUCCCGAGCGGCCAAAGGGAGCAGACUGUAAAUCUGCCGUCAUCGACUUCGAAGGUUCGAAUCCUCCCCCACCACCA
rnacentral:tRNA from 1 species